GGAACCCUUAGAACCCCGUGGGUUGUGUGUUAAUAGUGCUGUCUUUGGCCGGACAGGACGGUUAGUGAAUC
rnacentral:ncRNA from 1 species